GGUUUGGUGGUUUGUUAGCAGUCUCUUAGAGAGAAGCCACAAAUUAGCUUUAACCUGAAAUUAGCCACAUAUCCAUACCAAGAUGAGGGUGUUGUGGAU